rnacentral:rRNA from 1 species
GGGAGCCGGAGGGAAACCGAGUCUUAAUUGGGCGUUAAGUUGCAGGGUAUAGACCCGAAACCCGGUGAUCUAGCCAUGGGCAGGUUGAAGGUUGGGUAACACUAACUGGAGGACCGAACCGACUAAUGUUGAAAAAUUAGCGGAUGACCUGUGGCUGGGGGUGAAAGGCCAAUCAAACCGGGAGAUAGCUGGUUCUCCCCGAAAGCUAUUUAGGUAGCGCCUCGUGAAUUCAUCUCCGGGGGUAGAGCACUGUUUCGGCUAGGGGGCCAUCCCGGCUUACCAACCCGAUGCAAACUGCGAAUACCGGAGAAUGUUAUCACGGGAGACACACGGCGGGUGCUAACGUCCGUCGUGAAGAGGGAAACAACCCAGACCGCCAGCUAAGGUCCCAAAGUCAUGGUUAAGUGGGAAACGAUGUGGGAAGGCCCAGACAGCCAGGAUGUUGGCUUAGAAGCAGCCAUCAUUUAAAGAAAGCGUAAUAGCUCACUGGUCGAGUCGGCCUGCGCGGAAGAUGUAACGGGGCUAAACCAUGCACCGAAGCUGCGGCAGCGACACUGUGUGUUGUUGGGUAGGGGAGCGUUCUGUAAGCCUGCGAAGGUGGCCUGUGAGGGUUGCUGGAGGUAUCAGAAGUGCGAAUGCUGACAUAAGUAACGAUAAAGCGGGUGAAAAGCCCGCUCGCCGGAAGACCAAGGGUUCCUGUCCAACGUUAAUCGGGGCAGGGUGAGUCGACCCCUAAGGCGAGGCCGA